CCUAAUUAGCUUGUUAAAUAUUCCACUCUUGUCAUCUUCCUUCUACCAGUUUGGUUGGAGCCACCAUCCUUUCUCGCUUAUACUACCACAAUGCCGCCUAAGUCAUUUCUCUCUUCCUCUCUCUCUCUUACUGACCACCUCCCCCUACCCAACUCAUUGUCCAUACUGCUGCCAGAAUGCUCUUCCCCAACACAAAACUGAUUGUGACGCUGCCCUGCUUACAAACUUCAGUGGCUCCCUAUUCUCCUAAGGACCAAUUACAGCUUUACAGCUUGAAGUUCUAGCCCCUGCUACCAUUCUAGUCUCAUCUCUCUCAUCCCCUUGCCUCUGUGGGUCAUGUCCUUUCUUUCAAUUCCUCAACAGGUCUCUGCCGUAUUGAAGUUAAUAUCACCUGCAAUUGAAACCCUCUUCCCUCCACCACCUGCGCCUUGACAACCCCUACUCAGCUUUUCGGUUUCAAUUUAAACAUUACUGCCUCUAGAAAGUCUACCCUGGUUCCAUGAAAUCUGGAUUAAAUGCUCUUUCUUAGGUGGUUCCACAGGGACACAAGCUUCCCCUAAUAUAGCAAGUAUAACAGUGAAUUAAAUCACCUACUUGUUCACCUAGCACCUUUGCUGUAUUGCUGUAUCUAUUGCUAUAUCUCAGAACUCCAGGAGAGCAGGUCUGAGUUCUGAAGAGCAC